GACGUAGGGCGCGAGCGUUGUCCGGAUUUAUUGGGCGUAAAGAGCUCGUAGGCGGUUCGGUAAGUUGGGUGUGAAACCUCCAGGCUCAACCUGGAGACGCCACCCGAUACUGCUGUGACUAGAGUCCGGUAGGGGAGCGUGGAAUUCCUGGUGUAGCGGUGAAAUGCGCAGAUAUCAGGAGGAACACCAGCGGCGAAGGCGGCGCUCUGGGCCGGAACUGACGCUGAGGAGCGAAAGCGUGGGUAGCAAACAGG
rnacentral:rRNA from 1 species